ensembl:lncRNA novel transcript
ACUGUAGAACAGCUAUGGACUAGGACUCACAUGGAAAGGGAGGAGAGGGAAUGGGUUGGCUAUACUGCUCCCCCACUGGGCUCACCUACAUUUCAGGGGUAUCCUGGGACUGAGGCAGAGGCUUUCACCUGGGGCAAUAUUAACACUCAGCAAAAUUAGGAAGGAGGAUGAAGGAAUCAGCAUGGUGGAGUGGAAAUAUGGUGCACAUUUAGUCAAAAAGAUUUGGAUCUGAAUUCAUAGCCGUGUGGCCUGGGGCAAGUUGUGAAGAGGGGAUGGUGCCAUCUGCUUUACAGGAGAGAAAUCUAGAAGUGGAAUUGCUGAGCUGUAGAGUAUGUGAAUCUCUACAACUUUCAACUUUACCAUGUAUUGUCAAAUUGCUCUCCAAAGUGAUGGUACCAAUUAAUGAUACUACCAAUAAGCUUUGCUGCCAGUUUUCCAUCCAUCCCCCGGGGCUGAGAUGAGGUGAGAGGGUAUAUCCUGUUUGUUCCUCCAGAUCCACUUUUCACCUUUCCCCUUACCUGCUUUGUGCUUCAAGAAACUGACUUCAACAGACAGCAUCAUCUGGGCUUCUUUACCCUGUAGUGUUCAGCUGAGUUCAGCCAAUGGAAGACACUAGUAGAAGACUGGAAGGAUAGAGGAGAGAAAGAUUGGAAUAUUUAUUCCCAUCUCAUACUACAGUUUUUGUAGUGAUGGUUCUUCCUAUUGGACAGCUUCCACCUAUAACUACAGUUCUCUCCUGGUUCCAGAAACUGCUUUCUCCACUUCUGACCUAGGAGUAGCCACAGCUCCCAGCUGUUGUUAGACCCCAGGUGUAUUUUGUCAUCUCUUGUUACUUCCCUUAACCCUGCCACAGCUCUGAAAAUAGUCCAGUAAUUAAAUACUUUUUGAGCUA